rnacentral:lncRNA from 10 species
CUUGUCGAAUGAACUUGGUGGCCCAGGAAAUGUAGCUAUUGCCCCUAACCCAUCUCUCUCUCUGUUUCUCUCUCUCAACUCUGAGGUUGGCUUGGGCAGUCCAGUGUAGGAUUUCCACAAGGGAAGGUGCCAUGCUGCCUGUAUUUUCCCCAGGAGGAGGCGCUGGGAUGCUGGAUUUAUCUACAUGGGUGAUGUGAAAGCUGAACUGAACUGCAGCUGUUGCUUUUCAGCCAAUUGAUUGAUGGAUUUCAGGAGGCAGCAUCAAGUUCAAAUUAAUGCAAUGAAGCAGAUGAGGUGGACAGGCUGUUCUUCGGUUGACUGGAUAAGGCCCACCAGUAGUGGGGAAGACAAUCGGCUAUACUCAG